UCAUGAAUGUCAAACUUCAUUUAUCUACAAGGAUGGCUCAUGCACUUGAGCCAAAUCUGAAUAUACAAGAAAGACUUAUAAAUUUACAUGGAUAGCUUGUACACAUCAAAUUUCUUGAGCCAGGUGUUAAAAAAUCAUCUUCGAGACUUCCUUGAGAUCAUAAUGUAUCUCUUCUUUCUGAGAAGAAAAUUGCCUCCCAUAUUCUUAAGAAUUUGAGAGAAACAUUUUAGUAGUGAAACUAAACAU
rnacentral:lncRNA from 1 species